AGAGUUUGAUCCUGGCUCAGGAUGAACGCUGGCGGCGUGCUUAACACAUGCAAGUCGAACGGACUCAUAUUGAAACCUAGUGAUUUAUGAGUUAGUGGCGGACGGGUGAGUAACGCGUGGAUAACCUGCCGUAUACCGGGGGAUAACACUUAGAAAUAGGUGCUAAUACCGCAUAAGCGCACGGCUCCGCAUGGGGCAGUGUGAAAAACUCCGGUGGUAUACGAUGGAUCCGCGUCUGAUUAGCUAGUUGGCGGGGUAACGGCCCACCAAGGCAGCGAUCAGUAGCCGGCCUGAGAGGGUGGACGGCCACAUUGGGACUGAGACACGGCCCAAACUCCUACGGGAGGCAGCAGUGGGGAAUAUUGCACAAUGGGGGAAACCCUGAUGCAGCGACGCCGCGUGAGUGAAGAAGUAUCUCGGUACGUAAAGCUCUAUCAGCAGGGAAGAAAAUGACGGUACCUGACCAAGAAGCCCCGGCUAACUACGUG
rnacentral:rRNA from 1 species